UACGAAGGGGGCGAGCGUUGUUCGGAUUUACUGGGCGUAAAGGGCGCGUAGGCGGCUAUCCAAGUCAGGCGUGAAAGCCCCGGGCUUAACCUGGGAACUGCGUCUGGGACUGGGUGGCUAGAGUUCGGGAGAGGAGAGUGGAAUUCCCAGUGUAGAGGUGAAAUUCGUAGAUAUUGGGAAGAACACCAGUGGCGAAGGCGGCUCUCUGGACCGAGACUGACGCUGAGGCGCGAAAGCGUGGGGAGCAAACAGG
rnacentral:rRNA from 1 species